CCAAUAAGCGAUGAUGAUUUGAUCAACUACAUCAUGGCAGGUCUUAACACUGAGUACAACCCGCUGGUUUCCUCUAUCACGACCAGGUAUGACUCGAUCAGUCUGUCCGAGUUCUACGCCUAUUUUCUCUCCUAUG